ensembl:lncRNA
UUUGAUAACCAUUGGCUUUUCCUUAAUUUCUACUUCACAUCAGUAAUAGAAGAAAGACAUUUAACUGUUGCAAAAAUUCAUGAGUUUGAUAGAAGUAUGAAAUUUAGACCAAAUUAAAAAUAAAUACUAACAAUAAUACUUGAAAAGCCAUGCUCCAUAAAUGGAAUAAUCUUUUAAGUUUUAAUUUGUUCAGGACUGGAGUAACUACUCUUCUAAUCAAACUAAAACUUUUCCUGAUGCAAUCGCAAAAAAAAAUUUGAGUCUCUGUUACAUUUAUUUCUACUCAUACCCUGUAUACUACUGUAUGGGAACUGUUGAAUCACAGCCUGAACCUCUGAUUGACCACCUGAGGCGAGCGCUGAAUCAGCUGCAGGGGCACAGGUGAAUGCAAUUUCACCUGAGUGACCGGAAGGGGUGGAGCCUGGCUCCACCCUUCCUAAACCCCAUUUAAGGGCUGACUCCCAAGGAAGAAAGAUUUCUAUGUGGAGAUUAUUUCUAUUGGAGCUCUUCUGUGUGACCAGUAUGCGGACAAAGCAUCUCAAGGCCUGCAAGAAAACCUUUCCACCCCUUCCACCUCCCUCAUCUGGAGUUUCUUGCUGAACUUUAUCACUUACAGAAAGGAGAGCGCAUUAUAAAUACUAUAUGACAGAUGGUCUGGGGGACUGCAUUAUAGUUUCAGUUUUUACAAAAGAAGUAUUUAGAAGAUUUUGGAAGAUAAACAAAUAAAACCAGGAAAUAACCAGCCAACGUGACCUAUGGAAAGCAGUAUCUGUUCUGGUUGUUAUGACUUCAGAAGACUCCUAAUAAUCUUUAGUAAGUUUUUGUAUUCCCCCUGGGAGAAGUUGAAUCUAAAGCUAGUAUAAUCAUACAAUGGAGUUAGUAGUUUGACUGAAACAGAAAGCUGUCGAACAAGGUAUAUCAACAGUUCCAUCACCUGGGAAUUGAGAAAGGAAUUGCUUUCAAGAUGCAAACUUCUCAUCUUUCCUUUACAACUGAGCUGAGAACAUACCACCAAGUUUAAUCUAUGGGAAAUGCCAACUUAGCUGUUAUAUGAAGUAGAAUGAAACAAAAGCAGAUUCCAAUUUGAGUAAAGAUGUAUUUAUUGAAGAAGUUGUAUAGACAUCUUAAUCUUCAAAGCCAUCAAAGAUCCUCACAACUUGCUAACCAGCAAGUAAAGGUAGCUAUAAUUUGCACCUCAAUCUUUACAGUGGGGACAACGGACAGAAGCAUCUGUUGCCUGUGAGCUGUGUUGACAUCAGCCAAAUGGCAGACAAACAUCAAGAAAAGAAACAGUGAAGCAAGGGCAGACAUCCUUAAAAAUAUUCAGUUGCAUAUAAGGAUGGUGGCUCACUGGUCCCAGGAGGGGACCAGCAUAUAAAUAUACAUGUAAACACUGGGUCUACUUCUCACCUUCUGAGAGAAGAGCUUGUGGGAUUUUAUUCAACAUGAUUAAUAGACAGAAGUUAUCUAUUCUGUUCAUAAGUUACCUUAUCAUAUCUUCUUCUAAGACAUGAUUACUAUGAGUCCAAUUAAGCCAUGAUGAAAAGACAGUUUGGUCCUUCAUUCAACAACUCAAGUCAACCACAAAUAUCUUAAACAGGUGGUUCAGCAUCACAGAACUAGGGAUCAAAUGAAUGCUCUCUGGAUAACAGGUUAAGUUCCGCCUCUGUAGUUACCACUUCUUUUUUUUUUUUUUUUUUUACCAUAAUAAAAAUAUUUCUAUGAGAACCAGCAGUGUAUUAAAAGGAUUCAUUCUUAAAAGAUGUAAAGAAUAGCAAGUUGACAUUGAACUGUAAAGCUACCAUGAACUUAAAUAAAAUCCUGGUAUCUCUAGUUAACUCUUCAGAAAAAUUCUCAAUAGUUUUAAAUGAAGAAGGAUUGGCUGCAUAGUUCAGAAGAGACCUAUACCUGAAAAGGAGACUCUUUUUAACCAUGAAUGUGGGUACAUACAUGAAGAUGUGAAUAGAUGACAGCAACAAGAAUAAAGCAAAAAAAUUCUUAAGGAAUCAGAAGCUUCAGUUCUUUUAAAAUCAUUAUUUCACAAAGGCUUACAAUAACAAAUGAAAACAUUAACAAGACUAUUGUUCUUUUAUUUUAUUUUAUGGCUUAUUGUAAGCUCUUUACUGUUCUGCAGCUGGCAAUAGCCUUCAUCUCCUGGUCAGUCUUGGAACUGCACUUAUUUCUCAUGUUGUUUCUUGCAUACCGAGCAAGUAAGCCUCAGAGAUUUUCUUUGCCCCUUGUUCUUGCUUUUGCAAGGAACUCAGUGCCAUUUCAGUGCAACGAACUUGUUGAAAUGCUAAAUGAACAUCUCACUCUGAGCCAACCUCUGUCCUUAGCAACAGUUUAUAACUACACUUUAUUAUUUUAAUGAGCGAUGGAAAUAGUAGGAAUGCUCAGCAGUGUUGUAAUAAUACAGCUACACUGCUCGUUCAAAUGAAAUGGUGUUAGAUAUGGAGGAUUCAUUAAAAUAGCAUUUUUGUCAUAUUUACCCUUAAAAACAAAGUAAUUCAAAGCUAAAGUGAAGUUUUAACACAUCACUUGUGCCUGCACACUGCAGAUGAUAUGAGCUUCUACUUCAACCCAUUGAGGAACAGACAGCAUAUAAAUUAAAAGAACUAGACUGAAUUUAGUCAGUAAAGAAAAACAAUUUGCUCUUCCAUUAGUAUCUUAAACUUUGUAGAACAAAUGUUAUUUUCUUAGACAUUUAACUUUUGCUUAUACUAUGACUUGAUCAAAAUUUUAAUUCCAGAAAUAGCCUUACCGACUAACAGUUAGAUGGGGAUUUUUCCAAAGCUAUGUCAAAGAGAAAUGUUCAUUUCCAUCAGAGGAUUAAACACACUUUAUGAAAGAUAUUAUCAUUAUUUAGCUUAGUAACAAAACAGAUACGCAGAGGAAAAGUGGCCCAGAAAUGAUCUUACGCAGUCAGCAACAUUUGGACUUGUCA